GGGGAGUUACCCAAGUGGACAAAGGGGACAGACUGUAAAUCUGUUGGCUUCGGCCUUCAGUGGUUCGAAUCCACUACUCCCCA
rfam:Omnitrophica bacterium RIFCSPHIGHO2_02_FTLL_46_11 rifcsphigho2_02_scaffold_2535, whole genome shotgun sequence.